GCUUCGUUGCAUACCUUGAAAAACGCUUUGCGACAGAGUGAAAAACCGUUUUCUAAAUUGUCGAAUAAAUGCCGUUUUCGUCGAUUGAUUUAAUUUGACUUGUGCCUAUUCAGGGUGGUAUAGUCAAGAUGUGGGAAGAAUGACAACGUGUUCCCAUAUUUUAUUGACGGAAAGGGAUGUAUUUGAUGCAAGGUAAAGUAAAAUGGUUUAACGCUGAAAAAGGUUAUGGUUUCAUCGAACGCGAAGACGGAGACGACGUAUUCGUACACUUCUCUGCUAUCCAAUCAGAAGGAUUUAAAUCUUUGGAAGAAGGCCAAAGCGUUGAAUUCGAAAUCGUUGAAGGCGCUCGCGGACCUCAAGCAGCUAACGUUGUUAAGUUGUAAUAUGCAUCACCUUUCCCUGUAAUGGAAAUAAGGUAGAUCCAAAUACAACGAACGAUAUCUACGCCCUCGGAUGAUUCCGGGGGCUUUCG
rnacentral:other from 1 species